GUGUCUCUCUCUAUAAGGUCAUAUACUCUUCCUUGAAUUCUUAGCCUAGUCUCCUCUUUAUUGAUAGGAUACUUUUUGAUCCGUUGUUGAGUACUACAAUAUCUAAAGUAUCCAUUUGUCUACUUGUAGCAAGGUCUAAUUCCAUGGUUCUUUCCACAAUGGGGCCAUAUCUAUCUGGCCCUUGUGCUAGGACUAUGAGACCUAUCUUUUGUCUUUUAUUAGGUUGUUGUGGCUCUUAAGCCUUCCUCUUAUUGUUUGGUAUGAAUGGUUAACCCGGUGGAUCUGUUGUAGGACUGAGCUUAUAACCUAUUAUGUAUCUGGCUUGUUCUAGUGCUUCUUAGUAGUAAUUAAACUUCAGAACUGAGAUUUUAUCCCAUAUCUCCUUACGCAGGCCUUUCUUAAACUUCCUGGCUUUUAAGCUUUUAUCUGCUGCUAAGUUGGGCACGAACCAAGCCAACUCUAUAAACUUUUAUGCAUAUUCUGCCACUCUCAAUUCCCUUUCUUUAACUCUAGAAACUUCAUUUGCUUUUGUUUUCAAACAAAGUUAGGGAAAUACUUCUUAUAGAAUGACUCUCCAAAUGCUUUCCGAGGAUAAGUGUCCUUAGGGAUCCCUUCUUCAGGUGGCACUAGUGUUCUGUACCUCCCUUGAACAUGAAUGUAACUAAUUAUACCUUUUGCUCUGAAGUGGGGCUUAGAACCUCAAACAUCUUCUCCAACUCUAUGAUCCACUGUUCAGCUAAUAUCGGGUCGGUUCCACCAGCAAAUGGUGGUGGGUUCAUCCUCUUAAAUCUUUCAAUGAGUUUUCCAUCAUUUUCCUCCAUCGGCUGGGUGUUACUGGUACCAUUAUUACUACUGUUAGUAACAGUUUGGCUAUGGGAUACAUGUUGACCUACCACCCAAACCAAGCCUUCGACUAUACGCUUGACUCUAUCUAGACUUUGUUCGAUCUGGUCUUUUGGAACCCGACUUGCCUGCUCUCUCAGUAUCCUUGCCAUUUUCUACAUUCAUGAAAUUCAAACUUAGAGGCAUUUCACUAUGUUUCACAACUCUAUCUAGGUCUCAUGUAACCCUAAACCUCGUAUUUAAGGGAUGUUCUAAAAUCGUGCUCUGAUAC
rnacentral:lncRNA from 1 species